rnacentral:rRNA from 1 species
ACUAGGAAUUUUGCGCAAUGGGGGCAACCCUGACGCAGCGACACAGCGUGGAGGAGGAAGGUCUUCGGAUUGUAAACUCCUUUUAUAUGGGAAGAAUAGAUGACUGUACCAUAUGAAUAAGCACCUGCUAACUACGUGCCAGAAGCAUCGGUGAUGCGUAGGGUGCGAACGUUAUCCGGAUUUAUUGGGCGUAAAGAGAUGCGUAGGCGUUUCAGUUAGUCUUUCGUUAAAAGUCACGGCUUAACCGUGAAGAUGCGUUGGAUACUGCUGAAAUUGAGACAUGAAGGGGUGAACGGAACUCCAAGUGGAGCGGUGAAAUGCGUUGAUAUUUGGAAGAACAUCAGGGGCGAAGGCGGUUCACUGGUCAUUGUCUGACGCUAAGGCUCGAAAGCGUGGGUAGCAAAACGGAUUAGAUACCCUGGUAGUCC